AGCAUGCUCGACUAGAUGCAAGAGCCUAUCAAAGCAAUUAAACAUGUAGCAACAAAAGCAAGCCACCAAGGGGAAGGGGAAAUGGACAGAUGCUCUCCGAGCCCUAUCUAUUACAAGCCAAGAGGUGUACACAUACCCCAUAAAAGCAUAAAGGGGAAAGGGAAAUGGACAGAUGCUCUCCGAGCACUAUCUAUUACAAGCCAAGAGGUGUACACAUACCCCAUAAAAGCAUAAAAGGGAAGGGGAAAUGGACAGAUGCUCUUCGAGCCCUAUCUAUUACAAGCCAAGAGGUGUACACAUACCCCAUAAAAGCAUAAAGGGGAAAGGGAAAUGGACCAGAUGCUCUUCGAGCCCUAUCUAUUACAAGCCAAGAGGUGUACACAUACCCCAUAAAAGCAUAAAGGGGAAAGGGAAAUGGACCAGAUGCUCUUCGAGCCCUAUCUAUUACAAGCCAAGAGGUGUACACAUACCCCAUAAAACUUAAAUAAAAGUAGAAAGCAAGUAAAUG
rnacentral:lncRNA from 1 species